rnacentral:rRNA from 1 species
GCGGCGAGUGAAGCGGCAAAAGCUCAAAUUUGAAAUCUGGCGUCUUUGGCGUCCGAGUUGUAAUUUGAAGAAGGUAUCUUUGGGCCCGGCUCUUGUCUAUGUUCCUUGGAACAGGACGUCACAGAGGGUGAGAAUCCCGUGCGAUGAGAUGACCCGGGUCUGUGUAAAGUUCCUUCGACGAGUCGAGUUGUUUGGGAAUGCAGCUCUAAGUGGGUGGUAAAUUCCAUCUAAAGCUAAAUAUUGGCGAGAGACCGAUAGCGAACAAGUACAGUGAUGGAAAGAUGAAAAGAACUUUGAAAAGAGAGUGAAAAAGUACGUGAAAUUGUUGAAAGGGAAGGGCUUGAGAUCAGACUUGGUAUUUUGCAUGUUGCUCUCUCGGGGGCGGCCGCUGCGGUUUACCGGGCCAGCAUCGGUUUGGAGCGGCAGGAUAAUGGCGGAGGAAUGUGGCACGGCUUCUGCUGUGUGUUAUAGCCUCUGACGAUACUGCCAGCCUAGACCGAGGACUGCGGUUUUUACCUAGGAUGUUGGCAUAAUGAUCUUAAGUCGCCCGU